GGACCCGCACAAGCAGUGGAGCAUGUGGUUUAAUUCGACGCAACGCGAAGAACCUUACCAGCGUUUGACAUGAGAAGUGCCGGUUACAGAAUGGUAACCUUCAGUUCGGCUGGCUUCUACACAGGUGCUGCAUGGCUGUCGUCAGCUCGUGUCGUGAGAUGUUGGUUAAGUCCCGCAACGAGCGCAACCCUUAUCGUUAGUUACUAACAGUUCGGCUGAGGACUCUAGCGAAACUGCCGGUGAUAAGCCGGAGGAAGGUGGGGAUGACGUCAAGUCCUCAUGGCCCUUACACGCUGGGCUACACACGUGCUACAAUGGCCGGUACAAACGGUUGCGAACCCGCGAGGGAAGCUAA
rnacentral:rRNA from 1 species